rnacentral:sRNA from 1 species
CUUGGUCAUUUAGAGGAAGUAAAAGUCAUAACAAGGUUUCUGUAGGUGAACCUGCAGAAGGAUCAUUAUUGAAUAAUAGGGCUUCCCAUUCUUUGGGGCCCGAACCUCACAUAAUUUCCACACACUUGUGAAUCGUUGGAGCAUGGAAGGAGAGACUCUCUCGAGUCUCUGUGAAAAUGCUCUGGCACCCAUUUAUUAUUACAAACUCUGAGUUAAUGGAUGUAGUUGUAAACUUGUCUUUUGACAGAAACAAAAAUACAACUUUCAACAACGGAUCUCUUGGUUCUCCCAUCGAUGAAGAACGCAGCGAAACGCGAUAGUUAAUGUGAAUUGCAGAAUUCAGUGAAUCAUCGAGUCUUUGAACGCAUCUUGCGCUCCUUGGUAUUCCGAGGAGCAUGCCUGUUUGAGUGUCAUGAAUCCCUCAGCCCCCAAUGCUUUUCGUUAAGUGUUGGCUUGGGUCUGGAUUUGGGCGAUUGCCAGAGAGCUUUUUCAAGUUCCUGGCUCGCCUCAAAGAGAUUAGCUGGACCCCAUUCCGAGCUGGUUCAACUCGACGUGAUAAUUUCAUUCGUCGAGGUAUGGUUCUUCUCCCUUAAACAAGGAGUGGAUCCAGCCAGGUGUAGGAAUCCGGUCUGCUUCCAACUUCUGUCUGAAGUCCAAUUUAUUGGGCAUGCAGCAGACUUUUUAAUGCUCUGGCCUCAAAUCAGGUAGGAUUACCCGCUGAACUUAAGCAUAUCAAUAAGCGGAGGAAAAGAAACUAACAAGGAUUCCCCUAGUAACGGCGAGUGAAGCGGGAAGAGCUCAAAUUUGAAAGCUGGCGUCUUCGGCGUCCGCAUUGUAAUCUCGAGAAGUGUUUUCCGCGUUGGACCAUGUACAAGUUCCUUGGAACAGGACGUCAUAGAGGGUGAGAAUCCCGUACUCGACAUGGAUGCCCAACGCUUUGUGAUACGCUCUCCACGAGUCGAGUUGUUUGGGAAU